UUUCAGUAUAACAUGAAAAUGAAAGACCCCCAGAGGGAGGGAGACCCUCACUCAAGUCUCGGGAUAAGCCGAUGCCCCAAUAACUCAAGAGAGACC
rnacentral:pre_miRNA from 11 species